UACAGAGGUCCCAAGCGUUGUUCGGAUUCACUGGGCGUAAAGGGUGCGUAGGCGGUCGGGCAAGUCUGAUGUGAAAUCUCCAAGCUCAACUUGGAAAUGGCGUCGGAUACUAUUCGGCUUGAGGAGUGGAGGGGAGACUGGAAUUCUCGGUGUAGCAGUGAAAUGCGUAGAUAUCGAGAGGAACACCAGUGGCGAAGGCGAGUCUCUGGACACUUCCUGACGCUGAGGCACGAAAGCCAGGGGAGCAAACGGG
rnacentral:rRNA from 1 species